CCCAAACCACAAUUUAAGAUGCCUUUUUUUUUUAAAAAAAAAGGUUCUCCGUGUUGCCACCUGCUCCGGGAAGGCCAGGCCGAUGGGCGGCCAGGUUUGGGAGCAGCGGCUUCGGCUCCGAUUGCUUCCUGACGGUCAGUUCCAAGCACAGGCUCUGAGAAACGCCUCGAACCCUUGGUAUCUGGUGACCGUCUCCGCAGGCUUCCGUGAGUCUCCGAUAGGUGUUUUGGGCUUUUGGAAUACUUUCAGAAUACUUUCCCAUUUUUUCAUAAGGCAAAACGGAGUGGACGGCCUUUUUUUGAGAGAAACAGCAUUCUAAGAGUGUGCUUGGAAAACACACUUUUUGGGAGUCCACGUGGGGAGUGGACACUCAGGACAGGAAGCGGUGGCCCUAAGACCUGCGGCCACCCGGAGGAGGCAGACGCAGGCGAUGACCUGGUUCAUCAUGAGAGGAGCUAGAGUUGACUCAGUCUUAGGAUCUCGAUGGCGUCAGAAUUGCAGAGGGUUUCUGCCAGUGCCUUAGGUCUAAUUCAGAAAGCAAGGAAGGCUGGGCACGGUGGCUGGCGCCUGUAGUCUCAGCUACUUGGAAACUGAGGCAGGAGGAUCUCUUGAGCCCAAGAAUUCGAGACCGGUCUGGCAACAUAGUGAGCCUCCAUCUCUAAAAAAAAGUGGCAAAGCUGAGGAAAUCUGUGCCCCCAUCCCCCGACACCAGACAAGCUAAGGUGCAUUCAGAGUAGGGAACGAUGUCAAAACCUGGCCGCCGUGGUGGCGCGCAUUCCUCUCACACCACCGUACGGAGGCAGGUGACAGUCAACUGAAAUGUCCCCAAGGACCGUGUGAAUUCGGCUGGCGUGGCCCAGCAGCGGGGUGGACCAGGGUGCGGUGGCUUCAGACCUGCCUCCCGCCACCCCGUCCUCCCCUAACCCCUUCUUGGGACCUCCUGCCAAUCCCUGUGGUGUUUGAGUAAAGAAAGUGGCUGAUGGUUUUACUUUUUUCUUCCAAUAUUGGAAAGAACAAACUAGAUAUUCCCCUUGAACACAUCCAAAUUAUUUCCAGUGCCUGAGGGUUACCGAGCACUGUAAGCUCAGCUCGGCUGUAGCUCCGGGUUUCUGCCGAUGGCCUCCAUCUGCGCCGAAAGCUGAACUGAGCCCCGCGGUGCCCCGGAGCCACAGCAGCAGGUGCAGCGACAAUCGCCGUCGUGCGCAGUCGCUGGAGUCCUGGAGAGCCACGCUGUCCUCUGCAGACAACAGCAUCAGUCCGCUGUGCCCCAAUGCAUCGACGCCCUGUGGACGGGGCCUGCAGUCCACCCGUGGUCUGAGCUUGCCGGGCUGAAGCUCGGCUGGGACCCAGGGAGGGGCCACCCUGGGACCCACAGUCUCCUCAGUCACGUGCAGAGCAAAAAAUGCUUCCUGUGUUUGGAAGAGCAAGUGACGCAGCAUUUAUUGAUAAAAAUGGAUUUUUCUGUCUGAUUUCAUGCUGUGGUCGUUUAAGUGGUCAAUGUCUUUUUUUUUUUUUUUUUUGACAUGGAGUCUCGCUCUGUUGCCCAGGCUGAGUGGAAUGGCGCCAACUCAGCUCACUGCAACCUUCACCUCCCAGGCUCAAGCGACUCUCCUGCCUCAGCCUCCUGAGCAGCUGGGAUUACAGGUGCCCACCACCACGCCCAGCUAAUUUUUGUAUUUUUAGUAGAGACGGGGUUUCACCAUGUUGGCCAGGCUGGUCUCGAACACCUGACCUUGUGAUCCACCCGCCUCGGCCUCCCAAUAAUUUGUAAGUUAUGUUAGCGGGAUCCUCAAGGCCUUGCUUUGCCCCGUGGAGACGCUUGCUCGGAUGAGCUCAGGAAACAGUACCGGCUGCGUGGCAGGUCUGGGUGUUGUGUGCGAGGACGUGGCCUUUGAACACCGCUGUGUUCUCAGAGGUCCUUAGGAGAUAUUUUUUUUUGUCUUAGGGGGACUGUGUUAAGUUCAGACAAAUCAUGCUGGGUGUGUAGAGAGUGUGAAAUACGUCAGUGAAGUAAGUAGCAGUGAGCGAUUGUGAAUGUGUAAUGUAAAUGGAAAACCGGGUUUUACCGUGUUAAGUUAUUCACUAGGGAGCCAGUCGUAGUUCUUUGUAAUCCUCUUUCUUCCAAACCUGCUUUGCUUUCCUGUUUCUAACCUUAGGAAACCAGAAUAGCGUUUGGCAGACACGACGUUUUCAGUUUACCUUUGACACCUGCCCCACUCCAUUUUGCUUUGUGAUGUCUUCAUUUAACAAUAAAUUAUCUGAAAAAAC
rnacentral:lncRNA from 1 species